AUCAAGAGGGAACGCUGCAAAGAGCACCCAUCACAACAGGAAAUGAAUAAAUGGGAGCCAUUACUGUUAUCACCCUCUUGUUGGCUUAUAGGAGACAGCAGCUGUUACCAGACCCUCCUGUCUCCUGGAAGAUUACCAGAGUGGGCUCUCAAUGGGUUGACGAGCAAGGGGAGCUGUUUCCCAGAGCUGCAAACCUCCCAGGGAGUGCUCAGGCUCCAUCUCCACCGGUCCCCAGCUGCCCGCCAGCCAUAACUCUGGGCUGUGGCACCCGGGGGAACCGUGAAAGCCAAAGCUUUUACUCUCCACCUCCUGCACUUCAGGCUGUGAGAGACUGCCCUGCGCCUGUCCUCAGCCAUCUUUCCUGAGUGACUCUGUGCCCAAGCCUGUGGCCUUACGCAGGGCUCUAGGGUUUUAAUGGGACUCGGGCCUGAUCCCUGAUCUUGAGGACCAAGCAAGCAGGGAUGCAGAUGCUGACCAAACCAGGGGAUCACUGACUGCACUGUCAGGGUGAGUCCAAGGGGCCACAGGAGCUGGGAGGACACCCUGACCUACUACUGAGACACUUGAGUAGUGAGAACAACCUGCACACACAGGGAGAAGAGAAAGAGCAGGUUGGGAG